UGAGGAAUAUUGGUCAAUGGGCGCAAGCCUGAACCAGCCAUCCCGCGUGCAGGAAGACGGCGCUAUGCGUUGUAAACUGCUUUUCCAGGGAGAGAAACUUGCGCACGUGUUGCGCAAUUGACGGUACCCUGGGAAUAAGCAUCGGCUAACUCCGUGCCAGCAGCCGCGGUAAUACGGAGGAUGCGAGCGUUAUCCGGAUUCAUUGGGUUUAAAGGGUGCGUAGGCGGACUAUUAAGUCAGUGGUGAAAUCCUGCAGCUUAACUGCAGAACUGCCAUUGAUACUGAUAGCUUUGAGUUUGGUUAAGGUAGGCGGAAUGUGCAAUGUAGCGGUGAAAUGCUUAGAUAUUACACAGAACACCAAUUGCGUAGGCAGCUUACUGAGCCGACACUGACGCUGAGGCACGAGAGCGUGGGGA
rnacentral:rRNA from 1 species